CAGCGCAUGGCAGAGGGGGAAAUAGAAGGCUUUAGGAAUGUGACUGUGGUCUUACGAUCAUUGACAAACAGAAUUGAGCUGGUCUGAGAAUCUGUUGACAUAGAAGCUCAUAAUCGCCUAUAUUGUUCUAAAUUCUUGCUCUCUUUACUUAAGUCAUGGAUGGUAAGUGAUGUCAGAUAGUUAUUAUCUUAAGAAAAUGUAUUAAAAACCAUGGAUGUGUGCCCAUGUGCACACACAUAAGCACAACCAGACUGGGCAGAUGGAAAGAGCACGAGAGAAAAACAGUAAUUUCUCUUACCACUACAGUGAGGCCUAGGCUGACAUAAAGGGACAUAUGACACAUAUAGGCUGGCUACAAGAACCAUUAUUCUGACUCUGACAGUUAUAGAGCAUGUUCCAGGCCUCAAGACGAGUACCCCACUGAAAAUAUAGGGUUGUGUCUUCUGAAAUGAGAAAGAGACCUUAUAUAAAAUUUUAUUUGGGGGAAAAUGAUGCCAACAGUUUGACUACAUUUAAUCUCACAUAAGAAAGUACAUGGGUCUUUGGGUCAAGAAAAUAGCCAGACCUGUUUUCCUUGCAAUCUGCAUGUCACUAACAAUUGAAAAUAGUAAGAGAGUAAAGCUGAAUAUGAGGGCAAAAUAUACUGAGCAAUACUGGUCUAAAGGA